AGUUUCUUGUUUUUUUUUAAGAAAUGUUUUCUGCUCAAUGAUUUUAAAUAGCCGCGGUAAUUUGACCGUGCGAAGGUAGCAUAAUCAUUUGCUUUGUAAUUUAGGGCUGGAAUGAAUGGGAGUACGUAGAACUGGCUUUCUUCUUUUUUUAUUUAGAAUUUGUUUUUUGUGUGAAGAAACACAAAUUUAGUAAAGGGACAAGAAGACCCUUUUGAGCUUUAUUUUAAUUUAUUUUGGUUGUUUAAAGGUUUUUUAUAAUUUGAUUGGGGCGAUUGAGGAAGAAAAGAUCUUCCUUUUUAUUAGUUAUAGAUUUUUGGUCCUUGGUUUUUGAUUGUAAGAUUAAGUUACCAAAGGGAUAACAGCGUAAUUUUUUCUGUGAGCUCUUAUUAAAGAAGAAGAUUGCGACCUCGAUGUUGACUUUUGGUAUCCCUUUGGUGUARAAGCUAUUUUGGGAGGGUCUGUUCGACCUUUAAAUUCGU
rnacentral:rRNA from 1 species